GAAGUGGGACAGACGGACGAGACGGACGGACGGACGACCGAACAAACGAACGCACGGAUGCACAGACUAGAAAACAUAAUGCCCAUAAUUGGGGCAUAAAAAUUUAUUAUUAAAAGGGAAAAUAGUGAUUUGGCAAAAAUGAAAGUAAGGUAAAGAUUAGAGGGAGACAGGACCUUUUUCGGGGCGUCGGGAUCGGGUGUUUUUAAGCUCGGGAUUUGGGGAUUGAUCCUUACGGGAUCCGGGAAUAUAUUUUUCGAUUUCGGGAUAUGAAUUUCUUUAAAUUCUGCAUCUCAGUUUCAUGGUUUUAAGCCCGGGAUUUCGGGAUCAGGACCCCACCGAUCGACAACCCCUCAAAUUAGCCUUAGUCGGUAUUAGUCAUUUAUACAUGAUUCAAAUCCUAC
rnacentral:lncRNA from 1 species